GAGAGCGGGGGGUGGGUGGUGGUAAUGGAUGGAGGGAGCACUACGCGGGACGCUAUCGGGGCUGCAGCCUUCAGCUGCUGGCUCUCCCCCCGGCAGUCGGAAUGUUUACUCACAAAAUGGAAGGCGACGCAUCCGCCAGAGCUUUGAGAAGGAGGGCAAAGCGACUCCCCACACUGUGUGCGUUCAUUAACCCCUGGCCGAGCGGCGGCGCGAGACACCGGCAGCGGUGAGGAGUGAACCCGGGAGCUGUGAUCGCAGCGUGCGGGCGAUGUCUGGGGUCCUCGCUGGCGGCUGUUGGGCCGGUUUGUUAACAUUACGGAGUCGGGAUUGUAUCCGCGUGGCUCGAGUGGGUGAGGAGGUUCUGCAGGGAUAUCGUUCUCCUCGGCUUAGUUUGUUAGGGGUUCGUGCUCGUGCUUUUCGUGAGAAAGUGCUUUUUGCGUGUCUUAGUUCCUUGUCCCAUAGCUGUCAACCCCCUAUCAGUUGUCCUCACUUAUUACAGACCAAUUCACACCUUGUAGGUCACCCCGUGCCCUUAUAAAUCUCAGCGUUCAUCCUACAAAGUCCCAUCACAAGGGAGAAACACAACACACACGGGGUGAGCCCGGUGCGAAGGAAGUCCGACACGCGUUCACGCACCGUGCCUCGUUGGAGUUCGGGUCGUAGUGUUAAUGGGGCUAUGGUUGUGUGGUUGAGUGUUACAGUGCAAUUGGCUAUAGUUUGAAAGCAUUUCGAUGAAGUUUGUUGAACACGCGAGACAAUUGUUUGUCGGGAGAAAAUGUAAUUUUGAGAAAAAACGAGAAACAUACAUUUGAGACGUGACCCCUCUAAGAUUCGCUGACCACACCGUCGUUAAUUGUAACGUGCGAUGAUAAAAUAGUGGGUGAGAAAGAGAGCCACGGUGCUGCAGAAGAUACGCGAGCAAAACACAAACGGCAGGUAACAGCAAGUUCGCUAAACAACCGAAUGUGUCAAUUGAACGGACACAAUCGGAAAAGAGCAGCAGAAUAUGAACAUCAAAUGUGAGGACAUGAUCAAAGCGAUGAAAUGACGAGGCAAGCGACAACAGAGUGGAGUGCUUUUGGAAAUGUGAUCAUGAAAAGCAACAUGCCAACAGUGCCUGGAGAAGAACUGCGCGUCUCAUCGGUGCUCAUUACCUACCACGAUGUACGGACGGAUACAAACAGACUCUGAUCAAGAAUUUGAAAUAAGAAAUGAAACAUCUCCAAAGCACGCGAAGAAAGAAUGGGAGAGACAGCAAAGGGAGCAACGUGGAAGCGAGCACAGACACAAUUGGUGUUGACUGUCGACAGCAGUGAGGAGGCAACGGGCAGACAGCGGUGGGCGCGAGCUGCCGCCUCAAUAUUCGCGGUAUGCGGCCAGCAGGUGACCGUGCGCUCCGGCGCGCCUUCCCUUCCAACCUUUCGCAGAACCAAGGGGGUGCAAAGCUCCAGUAACGGUGAAGACCCUCUGAUCUCGAGGGAGUCCUGUAGAGCUCCCUAUCGCGAAGUCCUUCAGCCAGCAGUGGCGGUGAGCGAGCAGUUGCAGGGCUGCGCCUUCACCUACGCAGGCAGCUACCAGGGCGUUCGUGCGCUUUGUUUUGAUUUGUCAAUCAAAGCCGAAAACACGUUUUCAGUAAGGAAAGCUGAAGCUACGCUCCUGUAACCCUGUUCAGAUCGGUGCAGAAUACUGUAUGUAUAUAUUGUUUUUUUUUUUUAAAGAACAUGUAUGAACAAUAAGUUGCAGUCAAACAAAAUCAAGGCAUUGUUCGUUUCCUUUUGACAUAAACAUGCGCGAAAUGUCAUGGGCUCGCAUGUCAUCACCGAGACUCGCACCUUUUAGCGCCGAAAGCGACCUCUUCAUGCCAACGCCGCAACCACAAUUACGGCAAUUUUAAAGGAAGCAAAGCGGGUCGCGGGCCCAUUGUUCAAGGCGCACGAUUAAAAUAUUCCCGUCCAUUGCUACACGGACGAUGGCAGCUCGCGACGUGAACGCGCUUUGACGGCCAAGUCGCUCGCAGAUUUCGCCGUUGCCCAACGCAGUCGAAUUCGUGCAACGCACAUACACACACAGAGAGCUCCACGGCCCCAUCCAUCUCCCUGCUCCACGGGCAAAGCUUCCCUUCAUUUCGCGGGGUGCCUUUCUUCGCCAAGUCAACACGGUAAACCGAUCCGUCUGCUCGCUCCACCCCCGGGCACAUUGCUUCGGGAGGCCGGCAGUGGAACCUGACCUGCCAGCCCCCCACCCCCCUUCCAACCCCCACGUCCACCAUCCCCCACGAAGAACCCGAAGCUCACCCAUUUAGCAGAAUCAUUCCCCAAGUAGCGCCGACUAAGGGGUCAUCCAUCUAGU